GAUGAACGCUGGCGGCGUGCCUAAUACAUGCAAGUCGAGCGAACAGACGAGGAGCUUGCUCCUCUGACGUUAGCGGCGGACGGGUGAGUAACACGUGGAUAACCUACCUAUAAGACUGGGAUAACUUCGGGAAACCGGAGCUACUACCGGCUAAUAUAUUGAACCGCAUGGUUCAAUAGUGAAAGACGGUUUUGCUGUCACUUAUAGAUGGAUCCGCGCCGCAUUAGCUAGUUGGUAAGGUAACGGCUUACCAAGGCAACGAUGCGUAGCCGACCUGAGAGGGUGAUCGGCCACACUGGAACUGAGACACGGUCCAGACUCCUACGGGAGGCAGCAGUAGGGAAUCUUCCGCAAUGGGCGAAAGCCUGACGGAGCAACGCCGCGUGAGUGAUGAAGGUCUUCGGAUCGUAAAACUCUGUUAUUAGGGAAGAACAAAUGUGUAAGUAACUAUGCACGGCUUGACGGUACCUAAUCAGAAAGCCACGGCUAACUACGUG
rnacentral:rRNA from 1 species